UACGUAGGGUGCGAGCGUUAAUCGGAAUUACUGGGCGUAAAGCGUGCGUAGGCGGUCCCGCAAGUCCGCUGUGAAAGCCCCGAGCUUAACUUGGGAACUGCAGUGGAAACUAUGGGACUUGAAUCCGGCAGAGGGGGGUGGAAUGCCACGUGUAGCAGUGAAAUGCGUAGAGAUGUGGCGGAACACCGAUGGCGAAGGCAGCCCCCUGGGCUGAGAUUGACGCUCAGGCACGAAAGCGUGGGGAGCAAACAGG
rnacentral:rRNA from 1 species